UUGGCCAAUGGGCUGUUUACCAACUCCUGAGCAAAAAGAAUUGAAAGUAGCUGACUCAGAAGCAAGGAAAAUAAAGAGAACUCGCCAAGUAUUUCAUAGCAGGCCACUUGGACCACUUUCAUCAUUUUCUGUAGAUCUUUAUAUUCUUGACACAACAACAUCCUAUUUUGGCCGAUGUUAAAAUCGAGGACUCCCAGAGCCUCUCCUGUUCUCUCACGAAGUGGAACUACUAUAUGCGUUUCUCCACAGGCAGAAGCCAGAACAACUUCUGAACUGUCAGUACA
rnacentral:lncRNA from 10 species